GCCAGCAUGGUAUAGUGGUUUGAGCAUAGGACUACGACUCUAGAGAUCAGGAUUCGAUUCCCUGUCCAGCCA